GAUGAACGCUGGCGGCGUGCCUAAUACAUGCAAGUCGAGCGAACGGACGAUAAGCUUGCUUCUCUGAUGUUAGCGGCGGACGGGCGAGUAACACGUGGAUAACCUACCUAUAAGACUGGGGUAACUUCGGGAAACCGGAGCUAAUACCGGAUGAUAUUUUGAACCGCAUGGUGCAAAAGUUAAAGACGGUCUUGCUGUCACUUAGAGAUGGAUCCGCGCUGCAUUAGCUAGUUGGUAAGGUAACGGCUUACCAAGGCAACGAUGCAUAGCCGACCUGAGAGGGUGAUCGGCCACACUGGAACUGAGACACGGUCCAGACUCCUACGGGAGGCAGCAGUAGGGAAUCUUCCGCAAUGGGCGAAAGCCUGACGGAGCAACGCCGCGUGAGUGAUGAAGGUCUUCGGAUCGUAAAACUCUGUUAUUAGGGAAGAACAUAUGUGUAAGUAACUGUGCACAUCUUGACGGUACCUAAUCAGAAAGCAACGGCUAACUACGUG
rnacentral:rRNA from 1 species